UUUGUUAUGUAAACAAAGUUCAACCACUUUACAUUAGAAAGUUGAAAAAUUCUUUCUAAUGCCCUUUUCAUAAUGCCCCUUUUCAACUCUACCCUUUUGUUUUAUCCAUUUUCAUUUAUACCCUCUUUAAAUUUUUAAUGACCAUUUUACCCCUAUUUAAAAAUUAUUUUAGGUUAACAAAAUAAAAUAUUAAUAUUUUUUCGUCUAAAAUAUUCUAAAAUAAAUUUCCCGCCAAAAUUUUCCCGCAAAACUUUUUCGAAAAAAAAAUUCCCGCCAAAUUUUUUUUUCAAAAAUUUCUUUCCCGCAUUUUUUUUUUUGGCGGGAAAUAGAUUUACAAGGGAUUUUAAAAGGGUUUUAAAAGAUUUACAAGGGAUUUUAAAAGGAGUUUUAAAAGAUUUACAAGAGAUUUUAAAAGAUUUACAAGGGAUUUUAAAAGGUUUUUAACAGAUUUACAAGGGAUUUUAAAAGGUUUUUAACAGAUUUACAAGGGAUUUUAAAAGGGUUUUAAAAUAUUUAAAAGGAAUUUUAAAGGGCUUUAAAAGAUUAACAAAGGUUUUUUUAAAAUUUUUAAAGGGUUUAAAGUGUUUUAAAAGAUUUAUAAGGGAUUUUAAAAAAUUUACAAAGGUUUUUUAAAGGGUUUAAAAGUGUUUUAAAAGAUUUAUAAGGAAUUUUAAAAGAUUUACAAGAUAUUUUUAAAGGGUUUAAAUGAGUUUUAAAAGAUGUACAAGGGUUUUUAAAAGAUUUUCAAAGAAUUUACAAGAAGAUCCUUUAAAAUCCAUUGUAAAUCUUUUAAAACCUUUUUUAAAUCCCUUGUAAAUCUUUUAAAACCCUUUUAAAAUAUCUUGUAAAUCUUUUAAAACCCUUUUAAAAUCCCUUGUAAAUUUAUUUCUAGCCAAAAAAAAUUUACAAGGAUUUUUAAAAGCAUUUUUUCGGCUGAGAAAAUAUUUGUUACGAAAAAAAAUUUGGUGGGAAUUUUUUUUUUAGCGGGAAAAAAGUUUGGCGGAAAUAUUUUUUUGGCGGAAAAAAAAAUUUUUGGCGCCAAAAAAUCGGCGGGAAAAAUAAUUUUGGCGCCAAAAAUCGGCGGGAAAAAUAAAUUUUGGCGCCAAAAAAUUGGCGGAAAAAAUUCAGUUUCCAAUUACAUGUUCCUAUUAGAUGAGGGUAAUAUAAUCAUUUUGUUCAAGGGAAGGGAUAUUUUUAAAAAUGAACAACAUAAUAGGGUAUUGUUACAAAAUGGUAGUAAAUAAAUGGUAGUUUUACAAAUCUCCCAAUUUUUUAUUUUUAAUCAAAGUUUUAGAAUUUAACGUUU
rnacentral:sRNA from 1 species